GAUUCGUCACACUAUCAUUAACUGAAUCCAUAGGUUAAUGAGGCGAACCGGGGGAACUGAAACAUCUAAGUACCCCGAGGAAAAGAAAUCAACCGAGAUUCCCCCAGUAGCGGCGAGCGAACGGGGAGGAGCCCAGAGCCUGAAUCAGCAUGUGUGUUAGUGGAAGCGUCUGGAAAGGCGCGCGAUACAGGGUGACAGCCCCGUACACAAAAGCGCAUGUGCUGUGAGCUCGAUGAGUAGGGCGGGACACGUGGUAUCCUGUCUGAAUAUGGGGGGACCAUCCUCCAAGGCUAAAUACUCCUGACUGACCGAUAGUGAACCAGUACCGUGAGGGAAAGGCGAAAAGAACCCCGGCGAGGGGAGUGAAAAAGAACCUGAAACCGUGUACGUACAAGCAGUGGGAGCACCCUUUGGGGUGUGACUGCGUACCUUUUGUAUAAUGGGUCAGCGACUUAUAUUCUGUAGCAAGGUUAACCGAAUAGGGGAGCCGUAGGGAAACCGAGUCUUAACCGGGCGUUAAGUUGCAGGGUAUAGACCCGAAACCCGGUGAUCUAGCCAUGGGCAGGUUGAAGGUUGGGUAACACUAACUGGAGGACCGAACCGACUAAUGUUGAAAAAUUAGCGGAUGACCUGUGGCUGGGGGUGAAAGGCCAAUCAAACCGGGAGAUAGCUGGUUCUCCCCGAAAGCUAUUUAGGUAGCGCCUCGUGAAUUCAUCUCCGGGGGUAGAGCACUGUUUCGGCUAGGGGGCCAUCCCGGCUUACCAACCCGAUGCAAACUGCGAAUACCGGAGAAUGUUAUCACGGGAGACACACGGCGGGUGCUAACGUCCGUCGUGAAGAGGGAAACAACCCAGACCGCCAGCUAAGGUCCCAAAGUCAUGGUUAAGUGGGAAACGAUGUGGGAAGGCCCAGACAGCCAGGAUGUUGGCUUAGAAGCAGCCAUCAUUUAAAGAAAGCGUAAUAGCUCACUGGUCGAGUCGGCCUGCGCGGAAGAUGUAACGGGGCUAAACCAUGCACCGAAGCUGCGGCAGCGACACUGUGUGUUGUUGGGUAGGGGAGCGUUCUGUAAGCCUGUGAAGGUGUGUCGUGAGGCAUGCUGGAGGUAUCAGAA
rnacentral:rRNA from 1 species